UGGGACUCGGACUCGGAGAGAGAAACCUUGGAUGAGGAAGAACUUCAGCACUUUUCUAACCCUCAUGGUCUGGCUGCUCACAGCCCAGGAAGUCCCACCUCUGGACAACAAGAAGACAGAUUUGACAUUGAUCCGUGCCAAGAACCUGUGGAAACCAAGCAAUUAUUUCUUGAAAAGAUCCCACUUGCCCCCCUGAAGGUGGAGAAUCAAGGAGAUGUUACAUACAAGGAGACGAAAACUACAGACUACAGCCUAUCUAAACGUACAGCAAAACUGGAACAAGACAAAGUGAGCCAUCUACCAGAUACUACACCAAAAGAGGGAUGCCAAAAAG
rnacentral:lncRNA from 1 species